rnacentral:rRNA from 1 species
UACGGGGGGGGCAAGCGUUGUUCGGAAUUACUGGGCGUAAAGGGCUCGUAGGCGGCCAACUAAGUCAGACGUGAAAUCCCCAGGCUUAACCUGGGAACUGCGUCUGAUACUGGAUGGCUUGAAUUCGGGAGAGGGAUGCAGAAUUCCAGGUGUAGCGGUGAAAUGCGUAGAUAUCUGGAGGAAUACCGGUGGCGAAGGCGGCAUCCUGGACCGACAUUGACGCUGAGUGAGCGAAAGCCAGGGGAGCAAACGGG